GUCUCUUAAGGGACAUCAGAUAAAACUGGAGCCAUUAUAAGAAGAUUAGCACACCCUAUGCACUAAGAUGACACACAUAAAUUGAGAAAUAGUCCAAAUUAAC